rnacentral:rRNA from 1 species
ACCUGCGGAGGAUCAUUCAUAAUAAGUGUUUUAUGGCACUUUUUAAAUCCAUAUCCACCUUGUGUGCAAUGUCAGUCGAUCUUCUUCAUGGAGAUCGACCAAACAUCAACCUUUAUUUUUUAACUCUUUGUCUGAAAAAUAUUAUGAAUAAACAAUUCAAAAUACAACUUUCAACAACGGAUCUCUUGGCUCUCGCAUCGAUGAAGAACGCAGCGAAAUGCGAUACGUAAUGUGAAUUGCAGAAUUCAGUGAAUCAUCGAAUCUUUGAACGCAUAUUGCGCUCUUUGGUAUUCCGAAGAGCAUGCUUGUUUGAGUAUCAGUAAACACCUCAAAGCUUUUGGAUUUUUUAAUCGAAAAGCUUUGGACUUGAGCAAUCCCAACACCAAUCUUUUUGAGAUCGGUGGCGGGUUGCUUGAAAUGCAGGUGCAGCUGGACAUUCUCCUGAGCUAAAAGCAUAUUCAUUUAGUCCCGUCAAACGGAUUAUUACUUUUGCUGCAGCUAACAUAAAGGGAGUUUGACCGUAUUGGCUGACUGAUGCAGGAUUUCACAAGGGUCGGCAACGAUUCUUGUUAAACUCGAUCUCAAAUCAAGUAAGACUACCCGCUGAACUUAA